UGAAUCUUGCAAAACGUGAUUUUGCUAAAGCUACAGUUACCUAUUUAGGCAAAGUUGUUGGGCAAGGUAAAGUUCGUCCUAUCUCAGCAAAAGUUUCAGCAGUUUCGGAAUUCCCAGUGCCUACUACCAAAAAAGAACUUAUGAGGUUCUUGGGACUCGUAGGUUAUUACCGUUCAUUCUGCAGAAACUUCUCAAGUGUAGUCGCUCCUCUUACCGAUUUAUUGAAAGCAAAAGUUAAGUUUAUAUGGUCUCCGUUAUGCCAGAAAGCAUUGGAAGAUGUAAAGUCUCUUCUCUGUUCAGCUCCUGUACUGCUUGCACCUAGUUUCAAUCAGCCGUUCAAGCUGCAGGUUGAUGCCAGCCAUGUUGGGGCUGGAGCUGUUCUCUUACAGGCUGAUGAACAGGGGAUUGACCACCCCGUCAGUUUCUUUUCCAAGAAAUUUAAUUCGUACCAGCUUAACUAUUCAGUAAUCGAAAAGGAAGCGUUGGCUUUAAUAUUGGCUUUACAGCACUUCCAGGUGUAUAUAGACUCUGGAACAUGCCUGACCGUUUAUUCCGAUCACAACCCUCUAACAUUUCUAAACUCUCUCCAGAACCCGAAUCAGCGGCUCAUGCGUUGGGCCUUAUUCCUGCAGCCGUACCAUCUUGAUAUUAAACAUAUCAAGGGAACAGAAAACGUCAUGGCUGAUGCCCUGUCCCGUGCCCCUGUUUAAGACCUCUUCUCUCUCCUCUAGUCUCUCUCCUCUUAAUUUGCUCCCAGGCGCCGGGUUGCUGAGCAGACUGUGACUGGAGAAGGAGAUCACUGGGCCGGACUUCUCUUUCGUUCACUGACCCACCGUGCUAUGUUAUUCCGGGACAGCACGGUGGUGACCCCAUGUCCCGGGGCCAUCAUGGCCAUAAAGGAAGUGGGCGGCGGACCUGAGUACCACACCUGCAGUGGCCUCCUAUAAAUUGGCCCAGAGCACAUGGCUGGGUCUCUCUCUGGCUCUGCUCUCCAUGGACUCCUCUGGCCUCCUGCUCCAGCUUUUAGUUUAGUUUGAUCCAUGUACACUUUCACACACCUUAUACAUCUCAACAUUACAUACACCACUGACCUACACUAGCACGUUUAUUUACUUUAAUAAAUUGUUAAACCUUUCUUUUGUGUGGUCUCCCCAUCAUUGUUCCUACCCUCCUGAGCCAGGGUAGUAACA